AGUAAGGCGUGGGUACCUACCCCGGGGUUCGGGAUAGCUGUCCGAGAGGGCAGGUAAUACCGGAUGACCUGGUGACAGCAAAGAUUUAUCGCCCUGGGAGGGGCCCACGUGAUAUUAGGUCGUUGGCGGGGUAACGGCCCACCAAGCCUUAGAUGUCUAGCAGGUGUGAGAGCACGACCUGCGCCACUGGCACUGAGACACUGGCCAGACACCCACGGGUGGCUGCAGA
rnacentral:rRNA from 1 species